rnacentral:rRNA from 1 species
ACGGGCAGACUAGAGUGCAGUAGGGGAGACUGGAAUUCCUGGUGUAGCGGUGAAAUGCGCAGAUAUCAGGAGGAACACCGAUGGCGAAGGCAGGUCUCUGGGCUGUAACUGACGCUGAGGAGCGAAAGCAUGGGGAGCGAACAGGAUUAGAUACCCUGGUAGUCCAUGCCGUAAACGUUGGGCACUAGGUGUGGGGGACAUUCCACGUUUUCCGCGCCGUAGCUAACGCAUUAAGUGCCCCGCCUGGGGAGUACGGCCGCAAGGCUAAAACUCAAAGGAAUUGACGGGGGCCCGCACAAGCGGCGGAGCAUGCGGAUUAAUUCGAUGCAACGCGAAGAACCUUACCAAGGCUUGACAUGAACCGGAAUGAUGCAGAGAUGUGUCAGCCACUUGUGGCCGGUUUACAGGUGGUGCAUGGUUGUCGUCAGCUCGUGUCGUGAGAUGUUGGGUUAAGUCCCGCAACGAGCGCAACCCUCGUUCCAUGUUGCCAGCGGGUUAUGCCGGGGACUCAUGGGAGACUGCCGGGGUCAACUCGGAGGAAGGUGGGGACGACGUCAAAUCAUCAUGCCCCUUAUGUCUUGGGCUUCACGCAUGCUACAAUGGCCGGUACAAAGGGUUGCGAUACUGUGAGGUGGAGCUAAUCCCAAAAAGCCGGUCUCAGUUCGGAUUGAGGUCUGCAACUCGACCUCAUGAAGUUGGAGUCGCUAGUAAUCGCAGAUCAGCAACGCUGCGGUGAAUACGUUCCCGGGCCUUGUACACACCGCCCGUCAAGUCACGAAAGUUGGUAACACCCGAAGCCG